rnacentral:rRNA from 1 species
CAGCAGCCGCGGGAACACGAAGGGUGCAAGCGUUAAUCGGAAUUACUGGGCGUAAAGCGCGCGUAGGUGGCUUCUUAAGUCGGAUGUGAAAUCCCUGAGCUUAACUUAGGAAUUGCAUUCGAUACUGGGAAGCUAGAGUAUGGGAGAGGAUGGUAGAAUUCCAGGUGUAGCGGUGAAAUGCGUAGAGAUCUGGAGGAAUACCGAUGGCGAAGGCAGCCAUCUGGCCUAAUACUGACGCUGAGGUACGAAAGCAUGGGGAGCAAACAGGAUUAGAUACCCCUGUAGUCCCUGUCUCUUAUAA